rnacentral:lncRNA from 10 species
AAUAUAUCCAUUAUUGUGUUCAUAACUAUGUGUUGCUCUCUCAAGGCACUGGUCUUGUUAAGCAUAGGGAAAAAACAAGAUUAAUUGUGUUUACAAUAAAAUACAUGAAUAAAUAAAUAAAAUAUUUGAAAGUUUUUGUGCCUAUGCAAUAAUUAUUUAUUAAGCACUUGCUAUGUGCCAGGAACACACAAGGCUAUUUCUUCCUUUCUUGGCAUUUUUACUGGAUUUCUAUGCAUUUGACAAAGAAAAGCUGUAGAAUUUUCUACAAUGAUUUGAACUUUCUUCCACUAUAUAAUAAUUGCAUGGGGGUAUAUUUUUAAAUAUAUCAAGUCAGAGCCGAGGUGUAACUAUGGGUGAGUUUUCCCAAAAUAACCAAUCGCUGUCAAUUUUGUGAGUGCGUAGUGCCUUUUUCUUUUUUUUGUCUC